UGGGAUGUCACUGACACCUGGUCCCCUUC
rnacentral:piRNA from 1 species